AAAUGCUUAUCUUUGACAGAUACGCGUAUUUCGACUACCACUUGCAGUCUUCUGCAGAAGACUGCAAGUGGUAGUCGAAAUACGCGUAUCUGUCAAAGAUAAGCAUUUA
rnacentral:pre_miRNA from 1 species